UUUAUGGCGAAACCCUUUCCUUAUAUUAUUUAUAUUAGUUAGUACCGGGUAACCCGUAUUGUACCUCUGAACAUUAAACCCCGUCGGGAACCCCUAUUCAACAUUAGCACAUUUUGUAUCUGAACCAAUGACAACUUCUGUAUAGAUCACGUGUCUACUUCUGUUAGAAAGUUUUGAGUGUUUGGACUUGUAGAAAGAGUGUUGAAAUUUGAGAAAUCCAGUAACUUUUAUAGUUUGUGCAUUGGAGAUUUGCACUAAGUGUAAGUGACUUGGAGUUUUGUUUUGUUAACUAGUACAUGUUAACAUCCUCGUGGGUUGAAUCAUUGGUACAGUAACUUUGUGCACUCACUCAGCAGACGCGUCGCGUCAGUGACGAUGGCGGAUCAUACGUGCAAGGCAAUGGUGAUAGGACAUUCAUAUGUGCGCCGUUUGCAUGUUUAUUUGCAACGCCACAACAUAAUGAACUUACGUUUGGACAACGACAAAUUCCAAGUAUCAUUACGGGGAAACGGAGGUUUAUGUCUUAAACAUAUUCGUUUCAAUGCAAACAUUCUGCACUUUGACACAACCCCCAUAUAUAUGUUUCAUGCAGAUCGGUGAAAAUGACAUAUCGCCCCGUAGCGAACCAGGGAAAAUCUCAGAGGACAUUUUUUUCGCUGGCUUGUUAUCUGCGCGACGGAGUUGGCGUAAAAAAAGUUAUCGUUGGCCAGUUGUUGCUUCGGCUGUCAUAUGUGUCCUGUCCACAGUUUAACGAGAUGGUACAGUCAGUGAACCACUUGCUGAAAGAAAAGUUAUCGGACGUACAAGGGAUUGUGUUUUGGCCACACCGUGGAUUCUGGAAGUCCCUCUCAUACAUCGACCCAGAUGGAGUACACCUGCUAUGUACUCAAGCCAAUCAUCAGCCCCUGAGGAAGUUUCUGCGGAGUAUACGCAACGCCAUAAUUAUUAACUCCAAAGAUCUCAGGCCAGUAUAAACACAAAAAUAAAUUAAAUGCAAACUUGAGUUAUUUUAGGCCUUGCCUAUGUAGGCCAUGGGUGUUAUUGGUGUCUGGAACACUUUAAUAAAGCAUUCUUCAAUAUCUUCAAAGAAACAUUGGGCAUACUGUUUAUUUACAUAAUUACAAAGAAGCAGUCGGUAUACUGCUUCAUUAUUAUUAGGAACAUUCAGUAUAAUGUUUACAUAUUACCAAGAAGCAUUCACUAUAAUGCUUCAUUAUUGCAAGGAAACAUUCAGUAUAAUGUUUUCAGAAUUACCAAGAAGCAUUCAGUAUAAGGUUUACAUAAUUACCAGGAAGCAUUCUGUAUAAUGUUUCAUUAUUGCAAGGAAACAUUCAGUAUAAUGUUUACAUAAUUACCAAGAAGCAUUCAUUAUAAUGUUUCAUUAUUGCAAGGAAAUAUUCAGUAUAAUGUUUUCAUAAUUACCAAGAAGCAUUCAGUAUAAUGUUUACAUAAUUACCAGGAAACAUUCAGUAUAAUGUGUCAUUAUUGCACGGAAACAUUUAGUGUGUGGUUGCAGAGUUAUAUAGAUAUAAACUAUAUAUCUGUCUAUAUUUAAGGUAGCAGCAAGGCAGAGUGCAAGGCCUGUGCUAUAGAGAUGCAUUAAAUGCAAUGUCUGUUACCCUGAGAGGCAUUUUAGUAUGAUACUCCAUUGUUAUCAAUUAACAUGAGCAUGAUUUAAAAUUAGGGAAAGGUUAGCGGUAUGCCGCUACUAUUACGAAACGGGUUAGAAAAGUGUUGCAUAUUUCCCAGAUACCUACUUAUGGUACUAUAUUUAUAUUCUUUGAUAACUAAAACAGCCUCCAGAUUUGGCAUUUAGUUUCUUUCUAUCACGUUAUAUUAUCUAUAUAUUAUUGUGCCUAGAGGUGUGCUUUGGGCUAUUUAAUUUCAGUAAAAUUCAGUUAUCAUGAACAAUAGCCCUUGUUGCGAUGUACAAGUCCAUUUUCAUAUACAGGCGAACUGUUUAUUUCUAUGCUGGAUGUCAUGUGGUAUACUGUUUGGUGUUUACAGUAGUAUUAGUUUGCCAACUUUCUCACUCAUCAAGUUUGUUGGAAGUUGACAUGCCCCUUUUUCCUUGAUGCCCAGAUUUACUGUGGUUAAUUAUGUUUUAGCAAACAUGACAAAGGGCAAAGCCACUUCAAGGAAGCGACCAUCUUCACCCCGGCCUGCUCCAAAGAAGUCCAGCCGUCACAGUGUAGCACCACACAACCCGUCUGUGGAACAAGAGCCUGCAUAGUUGACACCCACCAUAGACUAUGACAAACUGGCGAGACACAUCGUCCAGGAGCAGGCACGGGCCCAAACUUCAAACGUUCCCCCAGAACAGAUGUCUCCCAAUUCACGGCACCAAAUGGAUGGGACUUGCGAGAACAUACCCACCACUUCCAACCAAGCCAUUUCGAGUGACAAUGUCACCAACAUCCUUGACGCAGUAUUUCAGGGUGAGUCAGCACGCAAUCCCACACCCAUUACAAUCAGUGAUAACAUACCCUUAGGGGCUACAGUCCUUAUGAAAACCAAGUGCAAAAUCUGGGCCAAUGGAUUUAUUGACCUCAGAACACUACUGCCCAAUUAUAAAGAUGAUCCCCUUUCAAUCACCAUAAAGGCAGGGAAAAUUGAUGUAGAGCAGAGCCAAAAACAAGUCUCCACUCUCCAUCAAUCAGUGGAUUGAUGCUUUCAUAACAUUUAUGUCCAUAUACCUUCAGAGAUAUACAGCGGAGGCAUGCAUUCUCCUAAAAUAAUGUGCAUACAUCAGGGGGAUUAGCAGAUUGCAUGUUGACGAGGCAUGGCGGAGAUAUGAUGAAAGUUUUCGCAAGUUAAGAAAAUCCUCCUUACUUCCAUGGCAACAGCCAGUACCGGAAUUGAGGCUGCGGGUUGCUGCCAUGGGACCAAAAUUGUCGGAUAAAUCAUAUCCCCCAUAUGCUAAUAAGUCUAAUUUUCGUCCCCAAAAGGUGUGUUUUGCCUACAACCGGGGUGAUAAAUGUUCAGUCUCCCCAUGUAAAUAUAUCCAUGUGUGUCAGGAAUGUGGCAAUAAACAUCCCAGAACAAAGUGUUUUGCUAAACCCAAGCCCAGGCCACACCAAGCAUCCCGUACCUCUUCCAACCCCAGUAAAACCAGCAAUACUACGUAAGGAGCUACUAGGUUAUGAUUCAAAUAAAUCACAAUACUUAGUUGAGGGAUUUUGUAGAGGGUUUAGGUUAGGUUGUGUAGGCGCACCCUUGGGAUCUUCACCACAGAAUCAUAAAUCAAUUAGGGACCACGUGGAGGCCAUUAAUGAUUACAUAUUGAAAGGAAUACAAGCACAACGAAUAGCAGGCCCCUUUGAUGAUCCACCUUUAACAAAUUUUGUUACAUGACCAUUAGGCAUUAUUCCCAAAUCAGAAGUAGGUAAAUAUAGAGUCAUUCAUGACUUAUCAUUCCCCGAAGGUCAGUCAGUUAAUACAUACAUUCCUCGUGAAAAUUCAGAAGUUCAAUAUGAUGCGAUAGACAAAGUUAUUUCACUAGUACACUAUUUUGGGCGGGGGGCUUUUAUGGCAAAAUCUGACAUUAAGGAUGCUUUCCGCAUAGUGCCCAUACAUCCAUCAGACUAUCAGCUUCUGGGAUUGACCUGGAAAAGUUAAUAUUAUUAUGACCGUUGCCUCCCCAUGGGAGCCAGUAGCUCAUGCAAAAUAUUUGAGGAGUUAAGUCAGGCUCUGGUUUGGAUCAUGCUCAACAAAUAUCAUGCAUCGGGGAUAUCCCAAAUCCUUGAUGAUUUCUUUUUUCAUUUCAUCCAGUGUCUAAAAAUAUCGGGAGGACUUAUCACGGCUCCUUUUUUGUGUAACCAGGUUAAUAUACCUAUCAAUAUGGCCAAAACUGUUGCCCCUACAACACAGUUAAUUAUAUAUGGCAUCGAAGUUGAUUCUCUCACCAUGGAGUGUAGGUUGCCCCAGGAUAAAAUUAUAAAAAUUAGCAGCAAGCUCAGUGAUUUCUGUCAUCGGAAGAAGGUACACCUUUGUGAAUUACAAUUCCGUAUAUGCCUGUUAAAUUUUGCUUGUACAGUCAUAGUGCCAGGUAGGGCCUUCUUGCGACGCCUUAUCGAUUUAACUUGCAAUAUCUCAAAAACCUUCCAUUUUGUUUAUCUCACCAAAGAGGCGCCUGCUGACCUAAGCAUGUGGUUCCAGUUCAUCUCGCACUUCAAUGGAAACUCAGUUUUCCUCCCUCAACAAUGGGACUCCUCUGAUUUGUACACGGAUGCGUCAGGGUCAAAUGGCUUUGCGGCAGUGUUGGGAUCACACUGGUUUGCGCAAUCUUGGUCAAAAGAACUUGAUCAUUUUUAAAUUGCAAUUAAGGACCUCUUUCCCAUUGUCCUGGCCUUAGAAUUAUGGGGAAGACAACUACAAAAUAUAAGGAUUCUUUUUCUAACCGACAACAUGACAAUAGUACAAAUCAUUAAUAAACAAUCUAGCAAAGACAAAACUAUCAUGAAACUUAUCAGGAGGCUUGUGCUUGCUUGCCUUUACAACAAUAUUCACUUCAAAGCCAAACAUAUUAGGGGAAAAUUGAAUGUAAUUGCAGACAAGCUAUCUCGUUUUCGAUUCCAGGCAGCUCGGCAGCUAGCACCGUAUCUGGAGGAAUGUCAGAUACCCAUUCCACACUCUCUUCUACACAUUUAGCACAUGGGACACGGACACUUUUAUCUGCAUCCUUCGCAUUAUCAACUCAAUUAGCGUACCGGCGAUCAUGGCAACUCCUGCAAACAUUUCAAGGUCAGAUAGCUUUACCCUUGCGUGUGGUUGACAUAUGCAACUUCAUAGCCCACUUGCAUGCAUCCCAUUUUAGUGCAAGUACAAUGUCUUCCCAUAUUUCUCCCAUAGCCUAUAUACACAAGAUACUUGCAUUACCGGACCCUACACAUAUGUUUAUUGUGAAAAAGAUACUAAGGGAUUGUCAUAGGUUGUCUCCCACAGUGGAUUCACGCCUGCCAAUUACCAGAGAUAUCUUGCUUCAGAUUAUCAAGGCUAUACCCCACACCAUUUCUGUUUUGGAUUAUCGUAUCAUGUUAGAAGCCCUUUUCUCUAUUUGUUUUCAUGCUUUCCUUAGACUUGGUGAGGUCACAGUAAAACAAGGCAUUACAUCAGAUAAAGUCAUUCACCUUCAAGAUGUAGUUUCAAUAUAAUGGCUCAACUCCCUCUAGAGUGGAAUCAGUAUUGCGCUAUUUCAAAACCCAAAAAAUGAACAAGCCUGUCACAAUUUGUGUAGAGGGCUCCCCCACACUGGACCAUUGCCCCGUCAAAACAUUACACCGUUAUCUGUCACAUUCAGGUCAUACAUCUGGUUCACUUUUUCAAUAUAGAGAUGGUUCUCCGAUUACAUACAAUUAUGUUUCCAAAGAACUUUCAAACAUCAUUAAGUAUGUGGGUCUCAAUCCUGCACUAUACAAAGGUCACACUUUUCGCAUUGGGGCAGCAACAUAUGCAGCACAAAAAGGGUACUCGGAGAAUUAUAUCCAACAAUUAGGUCGCUGGAACUCUAAUGUCCUGAAACGCUAUAUUCGCAUCCAUAUACUCUCUCUUCGAUCACUUCACCUCUCCUGAAUCAGCUCAUCCGUUGGUGAAGUUCAACUAUUUUAUGCAGGUCAGUGUUUAACUGCUCAGCUGCAUCAAGUUGUUGGCUUAUUUCACUCAUUGGCUGUACCCGGUAUCUUUCUAUGCAGGCCCAAUUUUCACCAUAUAUAACUUUUACCAAAAAUGCCAGUGUCCUACUUCCCAAAAAAUGGGGUUUACCAUGCAAGUCAGUGUUUAAGUGUCGCAAUCAUGAGGUCAUUAUGCAGGUCAGUGUUUAACUGCUGCAACGACGGGGGUCACCAUGCAGGUCAGUGUUUAACUGCUGCAACAAUGGGGUCACAAUGCAGGUCAGUGUUUAACUGCUCCAACAAUAGGGUCACCAUGCAGGUCAGUGUUUAACUGCUGUGGAACCCCCCCCCCCCAAUCCAUUGUCCUUCCCACUUUAAUGUACCUGUUUUAGACAUAUUUGUGUGCUGACUCACCAACAAGGUCCAACCGAAAUAUCCAUUAAUUACCUCCAUUAUGGUUGAAUUGUAGUUAUGUUUUUCACAACUUAUGUAUAUAAAUGUUUUGAAUUUGUUACACAAUUUACAAGACAGGUCACCUUGGAUGGCUCUGAAUAUGAUUUGUUAAUCAUAUCUUUCGCCCUUUUUGUUCGCCUUUUUUUGCUUGUUGUACACUUUGGAACAAGUUUCCAAGGUCUGUAUUUUAACUAGUCGUUGUUUGUUAUUUAUGAUAAUCAUGUAUGGGGAAAAUCAGGACAGAUGUGUUGAAAUCCUUUGUAAUUACAUUGUAUGUAUCUACUGAUUUUCCCCUGUUUGAACUGGUCAGUACUAUAUUUAUUUGUGAAAUUAUCUAUAUGGGGAAAUCAGAAAUGAUGGGUUGAUAUAUUGUGCAAGAUUAUGACAGUGUUCGUGGAUCGCUGAUUUCCCCCCUUCUUUGUAUGAACCUUCAUCUUCGUCAUUUGUUGUCUAAAAUAAAUGACAUUUCAUUCUCAUACAGUUUUACAGUGUUGAUUUUUAAAGCAAAAACAAGCUUCGGUGAGCUGUCCUCUUGAAAAGGAAAUAGUAUGAUACAUACAAUAUCUAUUAUGUAUAUAAUAACAUUUAUGGCGAAACUUUUUCCUUAUAUUAUUUAUAUUAGUUAGUACCCGUAUUGUACCUCUGAACAUUAAACCCCGUAGGGAACCCCUAUUCAACAUUAGCACAGUUUGUAUCUGAACCAAUGAAAACUUCUGUAUAGAUCACGUGUCUACUUCUGUUAGAAAGUUUUGACUGUUUGGACUUGUAGAAAGCGUGUUGAAAUUUGAGAAAUCCAGUAACCCACCACCUCCCCAUCUUCAAUCCCACCUAUAUAUACAAAUGUAGAUUAAUUAUUCAUCAUCUUAUUGUGGCCCUUUUUGUUCGCCAUCUUUUUGAUUGUUGUACACUUUGGAACAAGUUUCCAAGGUCUGUGUUUUAACUAGUCAUUCUUUGUUAUUUGUGAUAAUCAUGCAUGGGGAAAAUCAGGACAGAUGUGUUGAAAUCCUAUGUAAUUACAUUGUAUGUAUCUACUGAUUUUCCCCUGUUUGAACUGGUCAGUACCAUGUUUAUUUGUGAAAUUAUCUAUAUGGGGGAAAUCAGAAAUGAUGGGUUGAUAUAUUGUGCAAGAUUAUGACAGUGCUCGUGGAUCGCUGAUUUCCCCCCUUCUUUGUAUGAACCUUUAUCUUCGUCAUUUGUUGUCUAAAAUAAAUGACAUUUCAUUCUCAUACAGUUUUACAGUGUUGAUUUUUAAAGCAAAAACAAGCUUCGGUGAGCUGUCCUCUUGAAAAGGAAAUAGUAUGAGACAUAAAUGAUAUUUUGGUCGAUCGUAAAAGACUGCUACACGUGUUGUAAGUUUUAUAAUGCAAGGUGAAGAUAACGAACAGUGAUCAAUCUCAUGACUCCUAUAAGCAAUACAAAAUAUAUAGUUGGGCAAACACGGACCCCUGGACACCAGAGGUGGGAUCAGGUGCAUAGGAGGAGUAAGCAUCCCCUGUUCACCGGUCACACCCACCGUGAGCCCCAUAUCCUGAAUCUGUAUAAUCAAUCAAAGCCAAAUGAAUGUUACAAUGAGCUGUCGUGUACAGAAAGUAAAAAAAAAAAAAAAAACGUGUUCACAUUAAUGGUAUGAUUUGGCAAAAAUAACAUUCAUCCA